rnacentral:rRNA from 1 species
UACGGAGGAUCCAAGCGUUAUCCGGAUUUAUUGGGUUUAAAGGGCUCGUAGGCGGCCAACUAAGUCAGACGUGAAAUCCCUCGGCUUAACCGGGGAACUGCGUCUGAUACUGGAUGGCUUGAGGUUGGGAGAGGGAUGCGGAAUUCCAGGUGUAGCGGUGAAAUGCGUAGAUAUCAGGAGGAACACCAAUUGCGAAGGCAGCUCGCUGGGACGUUACUGACGCUGAGACGCGAAAGCGUGGGGAGCAAACAGG